AUUGAACGCUGGCGGCAUGCCUUACACAUGCAAGUCGAACGGUAACAGGUCUUCGGAUGCUGACGAGUGGCGCACGGGUGAGUAAUACAUCGGAACGUGCCCGAUCGUGGGGGAUAAGGAAGCGAAAGCUUUGCUAAUACCGCAUAAGAUCUACGGAUGAAAGCAGGGGACCGCAAGGCCUUGCGCGAACGGAGCGGCCGAUGGCAGAUUAGGUAGUUGGUGGGAUAAAAGCUUACCAAGCCGACGAUCUGUAGCUGGUCUGAGAGGACGACCAGCCACACUGGGACUGAGACACGGCCCAGACUCCUACGGGAGGCAGCAGUGGGGAAUUUUGGACAAUGGGCGAAAGCCUGAUCCAGCCAUGCCGCGUGCAGGAUGAAGGCCUUCGGGUUGUAAACUGCUUUUGUACGGAACGAAAAGACUCUGGUUAAUACCUGGGGUCCAUGACGGUACCGUAAGAAUAAGCACCGGCUAACUACGUG
rnacentral:rRNA from 1 species